rnacentral:tRNA from 1 species
GUGGUGGCUCAGUGGUACAGCACUUGCCUAGUAUGCAUGGGCACUGGGUUCGAUCCCCUGUACCACA